rnacentral:rRNA from 1 species
GACGAACGCUGGUGGCGUGCUUAACACAUGCAAGUCGAACGGAAAGGCCCUGCUUUUGUGGGGUGCUCGAGUGGCGAACGGGUGAGUAACACGUGAGUAACCUGCCCUUGACUUUGGGGUAACUUCAGGAAACUGGGGCUAAUACCGGAUAGGAGCUCCUGCUGCAUGGUGGGGGUUGGAAAGUUUCGGCGGUUGGGGAUGGACUCGCGGCUUAUCAGCUUGUUGGUGGGGUAGUGGCUUACCAAGGCUUUGACGGGUAGCCGGCCUGAGAGGGUGACCGGCCACAUUGGGACUGAGAUACGGCCCAGACUCCUACGGGAGGCAGCAGUGGGGAAUAUUGCACAAUGGGCGGAAGCCUGAUGCAGCAACGCCGCGUGCGGGAUGACGGCCUUCGGGUUGUAACCCGCUUUCGCCUGUGACGAAGCGUGAGUGACGGUAAUGGGUAAAGAAGCACCGGCUAACUACGUG